rnacentral:rRNA from 1 species
AGUGAACGCUGGCGGUAGGCCUAACACAUGCAAGUCGAACGGAAGCACAGUAAGAGCUUGCUCUUACGGGUGGCGAGUGGCGGACGGGUGAGGAAUACAUCGGCAUCUACUUUUUCGUGGGGGAUAACGUAGGGAAACUUACGCUAAUACCGCAUACGACCUACGGGUGAAAGCAGGGGAUCUUCGGACCUUGCGCGAUUGAAUGAGCCGAUGGCGGAUUAGCUAGUUGGCGGGGUAAAGGCCCACCAAGGCGACGAUCCGUCGCGGGGCGGAGGGGAGGAACCACCAACUGGGAACUGAGACACGGUCCAGACUCCUACGGGAGGCAGCAGUGGGGAAUAUUGGACAAUGGGCGCAAGCCUGAUCCAGCCAUACCGCGUGGGUGAAGAAGGCCUUCGGGUUGUAAAGCCCUUUUGUUGGGAAAGAAAAGCAGCAGGUUAAUACCCCGCUGUUCUGACGGUACCCAAAGAAUAAGCACCGGCUAACUUCGUG